rnacentral:rRNA from 1 species
AAUCGCGCCUCAGCACAGUUCAGGCACCUAAUGUGAGUUAGCCCUCACAUGGUUGCCCACUGAAGCCAAGCAGGGCUGCUGUUGGUCAGUACCUGGAUGGAGGACCACAUUGGAAAGCUUGGUUACUGUGGUUA